rnacentral:rRNA from 2 species
GAUUAAGUUAUUAAGGGCGCACGGUGGAUGCCUUGGCACUAGAAGCCGAUGAAGGACGUUACUAACGACGAUAUGCUUUGGGGAGCUGUAAGUAAGCUUUGAUCCAGAGAUUUCCGAAUGGGGAAACCCAGCAUGAGUUAUGUCAUGUUAUCGAUAUGUGAAUACAUAGCAUAUCAGAAGGCACACCCGGAGAACUGAAACAUCUUAGUACCCGGAGGAAGAGAAAGAAAAUUCGAUUCCCUUAGUAGCGGCGAGCGAAACGGGAAGAGCCCAAACCAACAAGCUUGCUUGUUGGGGUUGUAGGACACUCUAUACGGAGUUACAAAGGACGACAUUAGACGAAUCAUCUGGAAAGAUGAAUCAAAGAAGGUAAUAAUCCUGUAGUCGAAAAUGUUGUCUCUCUUGAGUGGAUCCUGAGUACGACGGAGCACGUGAAAUUCCGUCGGAAUCUGGGAGGACCAUCUCCUAAGGCUAAAUACUCUCUAGUGACCGAUAGUGAACCAGUACCGUGAGGGAAAG